UACGUAUGGAGCAAGCGUUAUCCGGAUUUACUGGGUGUAAAGGGAGCGCGGGCGGCUUUGCAAGUCUGAUGUGAAAGGCCGGGGCUCAACCCCGGGACUGCAUUGGAAACUGUAAAGCUAGAGUGCCGGAGAGGUAAGCGGAAUUCCUAGUGUAGCGGUGAAAUGCGUAGAUAUUAGGAGGAACACCAGUGGCGAAGGCGGCUUACUGGACGGUAACUGACGCUGAGGCUCGAAAGCGUGGGGAGCAAACAGG
rnacentral:rRNA from 1 species